AGGUGGAUUACAGUCAGUGGGGGCAGUGGAGCCAAGUGUACGGAAAUCCACAACAGUAUGGGCAAUAUAUGGCUAACGGGUGGCAAGUACCAUCGUACGGAAUGUACGGCCAAGCAUGGAAUCAACAGGGCUUUGGAGUAGACCAAUCUCCAUCUGCUGCCUGGAUGGGUGGAUUUGGUGCUCAGCCUGCCCAGGGACAAGGUGCUCCUGUAAUACCUAACCAAGCUGGAUAUGGUAUGGCAAGUUACCAAACGCAGUGAGCUGGGACUCUGUUUAAAAGUGUGUAUUUCAUGAUAGGCUGCAGUUUCCAGUGACAUUCUGAAGACUGGAAUGUAGACAAUGAAAAAAGAAAAAUAUUUAUUUUAAAAAUGGAAAUGUUUGGAACCUUUAGCACAGCUUUGCUUUGGUGAAGGACACAAAUGUCUUCUAGUUCUGCCUUUUUAAGUUUUUGUUCAUGAUGGAUAUGAACAUGUUUUUCUUUGUGUACAAAAAUUAAAAAUAAAGUCAAUAAAGACAAUUCUGACUACAAA